rnacentral:rRNA from 1 species
UACAGAGGGUGCAAGCGUUAAUCGGAAUUACUGGGCGUAAAGCGUGCGCAGACGGUUGCGUAAGUCAGAUGUGAAAGCCCCGGGCUCAACCUGGGAAUUGCAUUUGAGACUGCGUAGCUAGGAUGCGGAAGAGGGAAGCGGAAUUUCCGGUGUAGCGGUGAAAUGCGUAGAUAUCGGAAGGAACACCAGUGGCGAAAGCGGCUUCCUGGUCCAGCACCGACGUUCAGGCACGAAAGCGUGGGGAGCAAACAGG